CAGCAGCCGCGGUAAUACGAAGGGUGCAAGCGUUACUCGGAAUUACUGGGCGUAAAGCGUGCGUAGGUGGUGGUUUAAGUCCGUUGUGAAAGCCCUAGGCUCAACCUGGGAAUUGCAGUGGAUACUGGGUCACUAGAGUGUGGUAGAGGAUAGUGGAAUUUCCGGUGUAGCAGUGAAAUGCGUAGAGAUCGGAAGGAACAUCUGUGGCGAAGGCGACUAUCUGGGCCAACACUGACACUGAGGCACGAAAGCGUGGGGAGCAAACAGGAUUAGAUACCCGCGUAGUCCCUGUCUCUUAUAC
rnacentral:rRNA from 1 species